rfam:Candidate division WOR-1 bacterium RIFOXYB2_FTLL_48_7 rifoxyb2_full_scaffold_1992, whole genome shotgun sequence.
GCCGACGUAGCUCAGUUGGUAGAGCAGCUGUUUCGUAAACAGCAGGUCAGCAGUUCGAUUCUGCUCGUCGGCU